ensembl:snoRNA
AUGGCACACAAACCCAAAGUUCAUUAUUUUCCAUGUAUAAUGUUCUUGCUAUGUGUGCGCACAGGAAAACUCAAGGACCUUGUCGCCUUUCAUAAGCUGUGUUGUGCUAGUGAAAGUGAAUUCAAGGUUCAACAUAU